rnacentral:lncRNA from 1 species
GCCAUGGAAGAGUUAUUUUAAUCAAUGUAAAUCAUUGAGGAAUUUGUCUUAUUAUCACUAUUUGAAUGUUUAACAAUUCUGUUGAGUAAUCCUUCAAAUAAAGGCAACAGUAGUAUACUGCUGUUCAAAAUUCAUAAAUCAAUAGAGAGAAAAAUAAUCAGGGUUACAAACUAAAACUGAGGGAAAUGUAUCAAAUAUAAGAGAACUACGACACAACAGAGACACAACACCGAAAUGUAACACACACAGAAACGAACUAUAAUGUAACAAUGGCCAUUUUCCUGACUUGAUACAGGGCAUUUUAUGAAAAAAUAGUGGGUUGAACCUGGUUUUCAAAGAUUGAUCUUGUAAAAAGUAAAAUAAGAAAGAACUGAACUCUGAGGGAAAUUCGAAAUGCCAAAUCAAAAGCUGAACCAUGUCUGUAAUAUUGACAAGCAAUAAUAAUUUAGUUUGAAUUGGAAACUGUGAGUUAUAAAUAUUCGAAUUGUUGAGGACAACUUUUCAUCAGAAAUAAGAAUUAACGUUGCAUUGCUGAAAAAAGGAUUUGAUACUUGUAAUAUCUAUUAGUGUGUGAUAUAUAUAUAUAAUGUAAAACAGGACUAGUUUCUAAACCUAUCAUAUAACAAAUUGUAUUAACAUGGAUUUUAAGAGCAAUAUGCUCAGUUCAUGCAGUGUAGACUUUUUAUUGCAAAACCCUCAAUAAUUGAAAUUCUAGUCUGACUGUUAUGUAUUUUCCAAGGUAUUUUAUGAAUACUUUUAUUAACAAUUAAUGAAUAUUUG